CCCAAAAUAUUACUGCAGAGCAAUUCAGAUUCGCAAAGAGUGGACUGCAGCUGGAGUCAGUGCUUCAAGAACCACCACGCACAGACGUAUGCAAGACACGG